rnacentral:lncRNA from 1 species
UUAGGAGGUGAUUCGAGACAAGGAAGAUAAUUGGCCUCACAGCCAAAGAGAGGCUCGACCUAAGGAUUACGCCUCAAGAGGAAGCUUAAAACAUCCCUUGGGUUUGGGUACCCAUCAGGUACGCAUGUGUAGACAAACACAUGUGCGAGCAAGAGAACUCGCUCAUGUGGGAAGAUUGCCUGUGCAAGAAAGCAUGCGAAAUGUGCGAGAGAGUUGUAGUUGCAUGCAACCAGAGUGGGCCUAGGCAUGCACAUGCAUAAGUUAGAUGUGUGCAUGAGGGGGCGUAUGUACAAGCAUGCUAGCCACACACCCCAAACAUGCACAUAUGGGUGCACGCCCAGCCAGGCCUGCGUUGGGCUACACUUGUGCGAGUAGGCCCUGCCGCACGCACACCAGAAUUACGUGCGUGCAGGAACUUUUCGUAUGUGCCCAACGCUCACCACCUGUAGGUGCGCGUACCAGACGCACGCUGACAACUUGUUUGCGGCCUUUGAGUAUGACUUGGACUCCCUUUUUUGCUUCCUUGUUGUUUUCAAACUCCAAGGUAAAUUUUAGUUAAAUUCCAAGCAAAUUUUCAGCAAAACAUCCAAUGAGAAUCGGCCACAAGAAGAGGAAGAAUUUUAAUUAAAUUAAGAUAGUAUUAUUUUAAUGUUUUAUUUGAGUUUUAGAUUAGGAUUCUUUUAUUUAAUUAAUUUCCAGCAAAAAGCUUAGUAAAAUUAAUGUUUAAGAUUUCAAGUAGAAUUAUGUAAUCCUACUACAAGUCAGAUUGGA